rnacentral:rRNA from 1 species
CCUACGGGUGACAGCAGUGAGGAAUAUUGGUCAAUGGACGCGAGCCUGAACCAGCCAAGCCGCGUGCAGGAUGACGGCUCUAUGAGUUGUAAACUGCUUUUGUAAGAGGAUAAACGCAGAUACGCGUACCUGUCUGUAAGUAUCUUACAAAUAAGGAUCGGCUAACUCCGUGCCAGCAGCCGCGGUAAUACGGAGGAUUCGAGCGUUAUCCGGAUUUAUUGGGUUUAAAGGGUGCGUAGGCGGUCGGAUAAGUUAGAGGUGAAAGCACGAGGCUCAACUUCGGAAUUGCCUCUGAUACUGGUAGGCUAGAGAGUAGUUGCGGUAGGCGGAAUGUAUGGGGGAGCGGUGAAAGGAUUAGAGAUCAUACAGAACACCGAGUGCGAAGGCAGCUUACCAAGCUACUUCUGACGUUGAGGCACGAAAGCGUGGGGAGCAAACAGGAUUAGAUACCCCUGUAGUC